rnacentral:lncRNA from 1 species
GGGCAAUGGCGGGCGCCCCUCCCCCAGCCUCGCUGCCGCCUUGCAGUUUGAUCUCAGACUGCUGUGCUAGCAAUCCGCGAGACUCCGUGGGGUAGGACCCUCCGAGCCAGGUGCGGCAUAUAAUCUCGUGGUGCGCCGUUUUUUAAGCCCGUGGGGAAAGCGCAGUGUUCUGGUGGGAGUGACCCGAUUUUCCAGGUGCCGUCCGUCACCCCUUUCUUUGACUAGGAAAGGGAACUCCCUGACCCUUGCUCUUCCCGAGUGAGGCAAUGCCUCGCCCUGCUUCGGCUCGCGCAGGGUGCGCGCACCCACUGACCUGCGCCCACUGUCUGGCACUCCCUAGUGAGAUGAACCCGGUACCUCAGAUGGAAAUGCAGAAAUCAACCAUCUUCUGUGUCGCUCACGCUGGGAGCUGUAGACCGGAGCUGUUCCUAUUUGGCCAUCUUGGCUCCUUCCUCAUCCUUAUUCAAUUCUUGAACGGUUCCACACAAAAAUAACUGAAGAUGGGCCUCCAGUCUUACGACGCCACAAAGUGCCCUGACACCACUGAACACGAAAACUCAUUGCAGAGGAGGAGGGUCAUCACUCCCCACCCUUCAGCGUGGGCUGUGAAGAGGAACUUCCUUCUUAAGAGUACAGCAUGGGCAGUGAGACGAGAUCACACCACUGCACUCCAGCCUGGUAACAGAAUGAGACUACAUCUCAAAAAAAAAAAAAAAAAAAAAAAAAAAAAGGAUGGUUGCUUCCAAGAUGGCCAAAUAGGAACAGCUCUUGUCUGCAGCUCCCAGGGAGAUCAACACAGAAGACAGGUGAUUUCUGCAUUUCCAACUGAGGUACCUGGUUCAUCUCACUGGGACUGACUGGUUGGACUGUAGGUGCAGCCCACAGAGAGCAAGACGAAGCAGAGUGGGGUGUCACAUCACCUAGGAAGUGCAAGGGUUCAGGGGAUUUCCCUUUUCUAGCCAAGGGAAGCCGUGAGAGACUGUACCUGGAGGAACAGUAUACUCUUGCCCAAAUACUGUGCUUUUCCCAUGGUAUUAGCAACUGACAGACCAGGAGAUUCCCUCCUGUGCCUGGCUCAGUGUGUCCCAUGCCCACAGUCUUGCUCACUGUUAGCGCAGCAGUCUGAGAUCAACCUGCUAGGCUGCAGCCUGACAGGGGGAGGAGCAUCUGCCAUUGCUGAGGCUUGAGUAUUAAACAAAGCGGCUGGGAAGCUUGAACUGGGCAGAGCCCACCGCAGCUCAGCAGUGCCUACUGCCUCUCAAGAAUCUACCUCUGUGGGCAGGGCAUACCUGAACAAAAGGCAGCAGACAACAUCUGCAGACUUAAACGUCCCUGUCUGACAGCUCUGAAGAGAGUAGUGUUUCUCCCAGCAUGGCAUUUGAGCUCUGAGAACAGACAGACUGCCUCCUCAAGCAGGCCUCUGACCCCCAUGUAGCCUGUCUAGGGGACACCUCCCAGAAGGGGCCGACAGACACCUCAUACAGGCAGGUGCGCCUCUGGGACGAAGCUUCGAGAGGUAGGAGCAGGCAGCAAUAUUUGCUGUUCUGCAAUAUUUGCUGUUCUGCAGCCUCUGCUGGGGAAGACUGAGGGUCUGGAGUGGACCUCCAGCAAACUCCAACGGACCUGCUGCUGAGGGGCCUGACUGUUAGAAGGAAAACUAACAAACAGAAAAGAAUAGCAUCAACAUCAACAAAAAGGACAUCCACACCAAAACCCCAUCUGUAGGUCACCAACAUCAAAGACCAAAGGUAGAAUAAACCACAAAGAUGGGUAGAAACCAGAGCAGAAAGGCUGAAAAUUCCAAAAACCAGAGUGCCUUUUCUCCUCCAAAGGACUGCAGCUUCUCACCAGCAACAGAACAAAACUGGAGGGUGAAUGAGCUUGACGAGUUGACAGAAGUAGGCUUCAGAAGGUUGGUAAUAACAAACUUCUCGGAGCUAAAAGAAGGAUGUUUGAACCCAUGGCAAGGAAGCUAAAAACCUUGAAAAAAGGUUAGACGAAUGGCUAACUAGAAUAAACAGUGUAGAGAAGACCUUAAAUGACCUGAUGGAGCUAAAAACCGCAGCAUGAGAACUUCGUGAUGCAUGCACAAGCUUCAAUAGCCAAUUCGAUCAAGUGGAAGAAAGAAUAUCAGUGACUGAAGAUCAAAUUAAUGAAAUAAAGCGAGAAGACAAAAUUAGAGAAAAAUGAGUGAAAAGAAACGAACAAAGCUUCCAUGAAAUAUGCAAUUCUGUAAAAAGACCAAAUCUCCGUUUGAUUGGUGUACCUGAAAGUGACAGUGAGAAUGGAACCAAGUUAGAAAACACUCUUCAGGAUAUUAUCCAGGAGAACUUCCCAACCUAGAAAGGCGGGCCAACAUUCAAAUUCAGGAAAUACAGAGAACACCACAAAGAUACUCCUCUAGAAGAGCAACCCCAAGACACAUAAUUGUCAGAUUCACCAAGGUUGAAAUAAACGGAAAAAUGUUAAGGGCAGCCAGAGAGAAAGGUCAGAUUACCCACAAAGGCAAGCCCAUCAGACUAACAGUGCAUCUCUCGGCAGAAACCCUACAAGCCAGAAGAGAGUGGGGGCCAAUAUUCAACAUUCUUAAAGAAAAGAAUUUUCAACCCAGAAUUUCAUCUCCAGCCAAACUAAGCCUUCAUAAGUGAAGGAGAAAUAAAAUCUUUUACAGACAAGCAAAUGCUGAGAGAUUUUGUAACCACCAGACCUGCCUUACAAGAGCUCUUGAAGGAAGCACUAAACAUGGAAAGGAAGAACCGGUACCUGCCACUGCAAAAACAUGCCAAAUUAUAAAGACCAUCAAUGCUAUGAAGAAACUGCAUCAAUUAACAGGCAAAAUAACCAGCUAAUAUCAUAAUGACAGGAUCAAAUUCACACAUAACAAUAUUAACCUUAAAUGUAAAUGGACUAAAUGCCCCAAUUAAAACACACAGACUGGCAAAUUGAAUAAAGAGUCAAGACCCAUCAGUGUGCUGUAUUCAGGAGACCCAUCUCAUGUGCAGAGACACACAUAGGCUCAAAAUAAAGGGAUGUAGGAAGCUCCAC